rnacentral:rRNA from 1 species
UGACCCUUCCCAGGGGUCGUGCACGCCCUUGAGCGUCAUCCUUACACAAUCCAUCUCACCUUUGUGCAUCACCGCGUGGGUUCCCGGUAAAAGGYGCUCGCGUUUAUCCACACAGACACCCUUAUAGUUUAGUGUAGAAUGUCUUGCUCGCGAUUGUACGCAAUCAAUACAACUUUCAACAACGGAUCUCUUGGCUCUCGCAUCGAUGAAGAACGCAGCGAAAUGCGAUACGUAAUGUGAAUUGCAGAAUUCAGUGAAUCAUCGAAUCUUUGAACGCAUCUUGCACCCCUUGGCAUUCCGAGGGGCACACCCGUUUGAGUGUCGUGAAAUCAUCAAGCCUUCUCUGUUUCUUUUUGAUUGGAGGAGGUUUUGGACUUUGGAGGCUUUUGCUGGCCUCUACUUUUUGAAGCCAGCUCCUCUUAAAUGGAUCAGCAGGUUCUUCAUGGCCUUGUCCCUAGACGUGAUAAGCCCAUUUCUACGUCCCGGGGUUUGGCUCUGCCCCCCCUGCUUACAAUUGUCUCAUAAUAUUUUAACCCCCUUGACCUCAAAUCGGGUGAGACUACCCGCUGAACUUAAGCAUAUCAAUAAG